GUGGGGGGUGAAAUUUGUCAGACGCAGGAAAGCGCACAUCAGUACUGCGAUUCGAGGUACAGUAUAACGCAGAGAUCACAUUACGCUUUUCAUAUUUUCUGCGCAACAGACUGCGUUGAACAUUUAUACAUGACAUAAAACAUAUAAACACAAUGUAACUACGCAUAAUAACAAUGCAUUCAACUUUACAACCACACGAGGAUGGAAUAAUAAUUAUCUGAAGGUAGCUGGGAAUGUUUAGAAUCAUGUCAAUUUUAUCAUUGUUUGCGUUAUUGUUUAGCUUCAUUAAUGAGUGCAUGAAAACACCAAUUACAACAGCCAACAAACUUGGAAACUUCAACCAAGGUGCGUAAUUAAGUUUUCCUAUACACUUCUGUAUUGCGCGCUAGCCUUGCAACGCUAACAACCAACUAUGAGAUAUGUUUCAUACGUUUAUACCGCUAACAUUUCACAGAAUCAUUCAGCAAAACAUCUUUAUUUAGGGACAGCAUAUGCUGCACAUCAGCAGUGUUGUGUGCGCUGCGCGCUACGCGCCAAAACACCCCCGUCGUUUGAGAAUGGACUCAUCCACUUACUGUAGGAUCUAAGGAGUUUGGUGCAGUGUCCAAUGAAAGCGUACUACAUUGAACCGCGCAGUCUAUUGGUUAAAAGAAUGAUCAAUCAUUAAUUUAUCACUCGAUACGCAGCCAUAAAUGAAGAAAAGCUGGAAUAAAAUAUUGUAAUCUGGAGGAAAAUGUUAGAAUUGUUUUGUUAAAAACCCUCUUUCUAUUCUACUGAAACACACAGAACACACACAAAUACAAGGUGUGAACUCUUUAAUUAUGAAAAACUGUUUAUUGAAUAAUUGUCACCUAUAUUAAAUACACGUUCAAAUUUAAGAUUUUAUGUUACAAGGUGCCAACAUAAUUUGGCCAUUACAGUAACUUACUAACUUACUGUUAAUUCCAAGGCGUAAAUUAAACUUUUCCCAAGCAUUACAGUUACCUAAAGGUCCAAUAGUCAGUAAAGUGAUGUCCAUUGCUUUCCUUUUAGUUCUGACAAUUUGGAGAAGUGAAUAUUGUGUUCUGGUCGAUUUCAAGAAACAUCUCCCUAAUUAAAAGUACCUUUCUACUUUCACAGACAUGCUGUUAGCAUAUAAUACAUAUAUAAUACACACCCCACAUAAACUAAAAUUAAAGCUGAAUAAGUUGCUUCAAACAUACAUUGCACAACUGUGGGCGAUACAAUCGACCCGGGGACAAGGUGUAUGAAGUGUGUCUGAUGUGCAUCUGUCAUCGAUCAGAAACGAUUAAUGGAAGGAUCAGUGUCUUAUCACACAACCCUCGGCUUCCGCGCAAAAGCAGCGGCAGGAUCCGUCGCGCACAUUUACAGGCAUGAAAUUACUAUCAAAUCCCCAAAGCGCUCGGCAAACGAAGGGUGCGCGCUGCACGGGUGUGGGAUCUGAUUUGGACUUAAACACAAAUGAAAGGAGGAUGCAUGCAACAGAUACAUAACUAACCCAACGCCUUACACUACAGAUAAACGUGCAUGCAUGCGCGAAAUGAAACAAGCGGCUGUGCUAAAGAAGUCAAACGGAGGUCAUCCUUUAUAUCCCCCCGCAGCAAUCUCAAAACAGGGGCCAGUCUGCAGUGAACCCUGCCUUCUCCACCUCUGACAACUGCCUGAAACUUACAAGACUAUCGGGAAUGGGUAAGACGCACUGGGAUAACACAGUACGCUAUUAACUUUUCUUGAUCUAGCAACUGCGUGGAUAUAAUGCUCUGUUAACACAUGUUUUAAGUACUUAUCAAGUGUAACUUAAUGUUUAUAUAUAUAUAUUUAAACAUUCGUUUAGCAACUUACGUUUCCAUUGUCUUAUAUAAGUGCAGAAUAAAGACGCAGUAGACAACUGCACAGUUUAACAAAAUUAGAGAAUUAUUAGGAUAUUUGUUAUUACGUUAUAAAAAGGUUUAGUUAAAAGGCUAAAAUUGAUCUUGGAACUAUAAACGCAUCAUGAAUUUAACACAAAGAAUAUAUAUGAAUAAUAUGACAUUGCUAAACUAAACAAGAAACUUUUCUUAUAAAUUAUAAAGAUUACGUAAAUUAACAACGGGUCUAAAUUGCGGCCGUCAAUUUAUAAUCACAGUUAAUCGGAGACUCAAACGACGUCUUAACAUAAAUAUUAUGCUAGAGGUAAAGUAACAAUAAUGUUUUAAUUUACUAGAUUGUUAUGAGUUAAAUCGGUAUAAAGAAAGCGCUAUUUUGACAAUGAGUAAUUUGUUUUACUACUACUAAUUUUUGCACAAUAUAAUCUUAAUUAAAAAAAAACGACGUACGUUUGAUUUCACUUUGUGAUUUUAUUUUGUUUGCCCUUAUUUUGUUACUUGUAAUUAUUUUGUUUUAUUUUUAUUUAAUUUGCAAAAAAAACAUUAUUAAGCAAGUAACUCAAUGCAGGUCUAUUGCAUUUAAAAUAAUGUAAACUACUGAAAAAAAAAACAUAUUUUCAUAUGUGAAGACUUUCAGUGACCUGUAUGCUUGAUCAUGUGCGCCUUCUACUGGAUACAUACAGAAUUUUCCUUCUUUAUGUUUUAAUGAGAGCCGUAACUACUUUUAUAAAAUGUACAAAAUAGGCGAAUUACAGCAUCAAUGCGGCUUUACUUUAAAAUAAUUGUUAAAAUAACCAAUUAUGUUACACUGAUAUUAUUAUUUAAUUAUGUCGUGUCGGAUACUGUGUAUUAACUAAUAAAUAAUUAAAACUACAAGUUUAGUUAGAUGUCAAUAUCGUUAAAAUAUUAAAAUCUAGACAUUUUUAUUUCUAGAAGUUUUAAAUCUAAAUAAAUAAAUAAAUCUAAAAAAUCCCCGUUGACCUCUUUCAGUUUUGCCUUUUAUUUUUCGGCCAUAGCGCCUAAAUUGAUUAAGAAUGUUAAGAAAACAAACAUUUUAUGAAGCAUUUUAACAAUAUUUUAAAAGCAUGAUAAAACUAUAAACUAAAUGUAAUUUAAAUUAUUUA